UACGGGGGGGGCAAGCGUUGUUCGGCAUUACUGGGCGUAAAGGGCUCGUAGGUGGCCAACUAAGUCAGACGUGAAAUCCCUCAGCUUAACUGGGGAACUGCGUCUGAUACUGGAUGGCUUGAGUUUGGGAGAGGGACGCGGAAUUCCAGGUGUAGCGGUGAAAUGCGUAGAUAUCUGGAGGAACACCGGUGGCGAAGGCGGCGUCCUGGACCAACACUGACACUGACACGCGAAAGCUAGGGGAGCGAACGGG
rnacentral:rRNA from 1 species